UACGUAGGUGGCGAGCGUUGUCCGGAUUUACUGGGCGUAAAGAGCGCGCAGGCGGUCGGCCAAGUCGAGUGUGAAAGCCCCGGGCUCAACCUGGGAGGUGCGCUUGAUACUCGAGGGCUUGAGUGCGGGAGAGGAGAGUGGAAUUCCUGGUGUAGCGGUGAAAUGCGCAGAUAUCAGGAAGAACACCCGUGGCGAAGGCGGCUCUCUGGGACGGUACUGACGCUGAGACGCGAAAGCGUGGGGAGCGAACAGG
rnacentral:rRNA from 1 species